AUGUUAGCUCCUCAGGUGCAUAUUUACAAUGAGUGGAAUUUAGUUGUAAAUAUUGAACUCAUUGUAAAUAUGCACCUGAGGAGCUAACAU